rnacentral:rRNA from 1 species
UACGUAGGGUGCGAGCGUUAAUCGGAAUUACUGGGCGUAAAGCGUGCGCAGGCGGCGCGUUAAGACAGGUGUGAAAGCCCCGAGCUUAACUUGGGAAUUGCGCUUGUGACUGGCGUGCUGGAGUGUGGCAGAGGGAGGUGGAAUUCCACGUGUAGCAGUGAAAUGCGUAGAGAUGUGGAGGAACACCGACGGCGAAGGCAGCCUCCUGGGCCAGCACUGACGCUCAUGCACGAAAGCGUGGGAGCAAACAGG